CACCCACGCGGUAGCUAUGCUCUGAGUCGAUCCAGCGCAGGUGGCCGGGGGCUGUUCCGCGUGGGCUGUUCCAGGCGAAAGCUCCCGAAACGCAGUUCCUCUGGAGAGCGAAGGCCCACGGCAGCUCAGCGGAUUUCUGGCGGCCGCUCCGGGUUUUUCACCUGUUCUCCCUGUCUUCAAUCGUAAGGCCUUCUUUCAUGCUCAAAUCCAGCAAGUUUUCGGCUGCUGCUGGGAAAAGGACUGGGGCUGUCACUAUUUCACAUCUGGUAUUACUGCUGAAGGGAACUGAAGCAGUCAUCAGCCUAUCCCUUUAUUAUUCCAAUUUCCUAAUUGAUUUAUUCGUUCGUCACGUAUGUAUUGAGGCUCCUUUCAUGUCCUAGGCCCUGUAUGAGUUACUGGAAGUACAACAUGGAAACGAAGUCAUGAAGUUAGAACGGGUUAAAGACACUGUUAUGGGGGAAUCACACAAAAUUUAAAUUUGCAAACAGUGUCAUCUCUUCUGAGAAGUGCGUGGCUCCCAGAGAGCCUGUUUUGGGGCGGGGUGGAGGAGGGAUGGAGGGGGUGGUAGGAGAUUGAUUUUGUGGAAUCUGAAGGCCGACUUGGAAGAACUUAACUACCUCCAAGGAGUGAGAGCUUGGCGUGGCUGGAAUGGGGCGCUGAAAGAGCAUUCAAUGUGGAGCGGAGUGUGACGGGGCAGGGGACCAAUUAGGAGGCUGCCUGAACAGUCGAGGCACUGGUGAUGGUAAGAAGAGCACUGUUUAGGGAGUAAAAUGGACAGGAGUUGAUAGAUUGAAGAUUGUGGCCAAGGAGGAGGCAAGGUUGACUCUUAGAUUUGAGGUUGGUGGGGAUGCAUUUAUAGAUCUCAGGAGCUCUGAAGGAGACCCUUGAGGAAAAUAACUAAAAACGGAUGAUAAACGUAAAAACUAAAACUACCAAGUAAAUUUCUAGAAGAAAACACAGAGGAAAAAAAAAUCUUUGUGAUUUUGAGAUAGGCAAAGAUUUCUUAGGACACCAUAAUCAUGAACCGUAAAAGAAAUGAUUUGUAAAAUGAACUUAAUUAAAAUCUAAAACUUUUGUUCUUUGAAAGACAUCAUGAAAAAAUGAAAAGAUUGAGGGGUGGAUUUGGAAUACAAUAUAUCUGACAAUCCAGAAUAUAUAAAGAACUCAUAUAAAUGAAUGACAACCCAAAACAAUGAGCAAAAGGUUUUAGUAAACUCUUCACUAAAGAAGAUAUAAAAAUGGCUAAUAAGCAACAAAAAGAUGCUCAGUAUCUUUAGCCAUACAGGGAUUUGCAAACUAAAACCAAAAUGAGAUGCCUCUACCCUCAUUACAGUAGCUAGAAUGAAAAAGACUGAUGACCCACCAACCACAUCCCUACACAUCUCCUUUACUGUACUAUACUCAAGCUCCAAAUACAGAUGAUAACAAAGUCAUACUCCCACCUGACAUGAUACAACUAACUUGCAUACAACCAAAAAGCAUCACACUUUCCCCAAAAGAGGAUGCAACCUUCCUGUGAUACUCCCUUUCCGCUUUUGACAUCCUGUAACUUAAUACUGUGAUAUAGGAGUUCCCGUCAUGGCUCAGUGGUUAACAAAUCCCACUAAGAAUCAUGAGGUUGUGGGUUCGAUCCCUGGCCUUGCUCAGUGGGUUAAGGAUCUGGCGUUGCUAUGGCUGUGGUGUAGGCCAGCAGCUACAACUCCGAUUAGACCCCUAGCCCAGGAACCUCCAUAUGCUACGGGUUUGGCCCUAGAAAAGACAAAAAACUACGAUAUAAAGUUAACUAUAUUAUUAAUAUAUCUCCACUGUGUAGCAGCAAUCAGGUUUUCCCCUGGGUAAUCAUUAUCAGUCACUCCAGCCAGUAUAGGAACUCCCUUCUUUGCCUGUUGAUUGAGAAGCAUGAAAUGCCCAACAGGACCAGGUGGCAGUCUCAGCUUCCAAUUCAACAGAAACAUCUUUGUGUCUCCUGAUGGAUGUAUUCUUCCCUUUGGAACUAAGACCUCUAGACUAGCAGAGCUUCUGGCCAUUUCCCCUUCCAAGCCAAAAGAACAAGCAGGUGCACUGCUUGAGGUUUUGCCAAACAGUAGCUUUUCCUUCACUGCUGUUCUUUAGGAGUAUCCCAGAAAGGGGCUGCAGCACUGCAUAUCCUCACCAAGCCUGCAUAUUGUGUAGGACCUUCGUAAACCAGGCUAUAAACCAAGACUGAGUUUUCUCUUCCCCAUUCAGCAGGUCCUAGAGAAUGCCACAUGAGACUAGAGGUGUGCGCUGAGAGAGAAGACAUUGAAGCAAGAGUAGGGGCCAUGGGCAUUCAGGCCACUUCCUCACACAACUUCUUGUGCUGUUAGGGCUCAUUCAAGCCCAGUCUCCUACAUGCCACUUCACUGAUAAUAUAGUGCUGCCGAGCACACACAAGUUCAUAGCUUGGUAGAUCAGACAACACCCAGCUCAUGGUAAGCAGCUCAGUUCACAAGGUAAACUGAUAGUUAAGAGCUCAGUCUCUACUAAGGCUCUGUAGUACACCAAAAAGGCUCUGUAGUUCAUCAAAAAGAGAACAAUGUCUACAGGGAUGGCAGGGAUUUGCUCCAAAAUCCUGAGAUUCUGCACUGCGAUUCACCUAGAAGGGCCUGCCCAGAGUCUAUCUAGCAUAUUUAUCAGCCUCCUGCAGAAUGAGGCUCUCAGUUUGGUUUUCAGAAAACUUUGUUUUUUGCCUUUUGUCCUUUUAGGGGCACACCCAUGGCAUAUGGAGGUUCCCAGGCCAAGGGUCCAAUCAGGGCUAUAACUGCCGGCCUACACCACAGCCACAGCAACGCCAGAUCCGAGCCUCGUCUGUGACCCACACCACAGCUCACGGCAAAGCCAGAUCCUUAACCCACUGAGCAAGGCCAGGGAUCGAAACCACAACCUCAAGGUUCCUAGUCGGAUUCAUUUCUGCUUUGCCACAUUGGAAGCUCCUGUAUUUUGUGUUAGUGGAUUUUUUGGGGAGUGGGGGCAGGUUGUGCCUGCAGCAUAUUGAAGUUCCUGAGCCAGGGAGUGAACUUAUAUCACAGCAGUAGCGUGAGCCCAUAGCAGUGACAACGCUGAAUCCUCAGUCCCCUGCACCACCAGGCAACUCCUGAGUUGGUGUUUUUAAAAACGUACUUUAUUGAGGUGUGAUUUACCCACAAUAAAAUGAGCGGGUCUCUUGUGCAUGGAGCAAUGGGUUCUGACAGUUGUUAGGUGCCUGUCACUAUUUUCCAGUGAGGACAACAACAAAAUUUCUCUCUAUAAAGUCCCCAUCACUGCUUUCCAGUUAAUCCCUUGCCCACCAGAGGCACCCACUGUCAGCGGUUCUUUUACCAUAGAUUGAUUUUGUUUUAUUUGUUUCAGACCAUACUAUAAAUAGAAUCUCACAAUAUGUGUUCCUCUAUAUUUUCACUUGUGUUUUUGAGAUUCACCACAGUAUGUGUAUCAACAGUUUAUUUUUUAGGGCAGUACCAGCAGCACAUGGAGGUUCCCAGGCUAGGGGUCCAAUCGGAGCUGUAGCCGCUGGCCUAUGCCACAGCCAUAGCAACACGGGAUCCAAGCUGCAUCUGCAACCUACACCACAGCUCACAGCAACGCCAGAUCCUUAACCCACUGAGCAAGGCCAAGGAUCGAACCCACAACUUCAUGGUUCCUAGUUGGAUUCAUUUCUGCUAUGCCACUACCAGAACUACCUGGUUUUCAGAAAUCUUGGCCUUAAGUGUUUCUUUCAAGGCAGAUAUAGAUUUCAGGUCAUCUCUGCAUGGCUUGAGCUGGGAAUCUAAAGCCUUGAGCUCAUCCUUGUCUUUCUCCCCUUUCUCCAAUGCAGUUAGGAGCAGCCAGCCAAUACCAUGAUAUUCCUUAGUUUAACUAAAAUAUUCUAAGGGAGGAAAUACACCAUCACUCAGGACCUCACUUUCUAUAGACAUCUGAUUAAUAGUAUCCAAUGCCUCAUCAUGCCAUGGACUCCCUGUGCCAGCUUUACCACUGAAAAUAAAACCAUUAGUGCCUUAAAAUCUAACCAGAUUAGAGAACCAACUCAAGAAAACCCACAGCUGAUUCAGAAAAGUCAUCCUUAAGAUUUUGUUCCUCUAGAAACACUUCCAGUACCAAAAUCUGUUUCAGUCAGGGUUCAAAGAGAGAAGCAGAACCAAAGAAGAUAUAUAUAUAUAUAGAUACAGAUAUAGAUAUAAAGAGAUUUAUUUUAAGAAGUUGAUUUAUUAGGGUUGGGAAAGAGGGCUGAUUAAGCAGAUCUGAGACAUAGGGCAGACUGUCAGGAAAGGCAAACUGGAACCCUCAGGUCAGUACUAAAGCUGCUGUCCCAAGGCAGAAUUUCUUUUUCAGUAGAGCCUCAACUCUAGCUUUUAAGGACUUUACACUGAUUGGAUUAGGCCCAACCAGAUUAUCUGGGAUAAUCUCCCUUACUUAAAGUCAACUGAUUAUGGACUCUAAUCAUAUCUACAAAAAUGCCUUCACUGUAACACUUAGUGUGGAAUAGUGUAGAAUAACUGGGGACUAUAGUGCCAAGUUGACACCUCAAAAAGGCUAUCACCUAAAUAUUUACCCAUGAGAAAUGAUAACAGUCCAUAAAAAGACUUGUACAAGAAUAUUUAUAGCAGCUUUGUUCACAAUGUCAAAAUACUGGAAACAGCUCAAAGAACCAUCAAUUGCAAAUGGAUGAACAAAAUGCAUUAAAUCCAGAGUUUCCAUGUGGUGCAGUGGAAACGAAUCCAACUAGGAACCAUGAGGUUGUGGGUUUGAUCCCUGGCCUUGCUCAGUGGGUUAAGGAUCUAGCGUUAUUGUGAGCCAAGAUCGCAAAUCCUGCAUUGCUGUGGCUGUGGUAUAGGCUGGCUGCCACAACUCUGAUUUGACCUCUAGCCUGGGAACUUCCAUAUGCC
rnacentral:lncRNA from 1 species